rnacentral:lncRNA from 1 species
GGGAGGGUUCUCGGUGAAGCCUGGAUCCCCCCCUCCGCCGCUCCCCCGCCCCCCGCCCCGCAAACCGCAAACAGGCACAGACGGGUAGUAUCCAGGGACAGGUGGGCAGAGCUGGGGCCAGUGCCUGGCGUCUGUCAGGGGUGUCCGCCAGGGCCCAUGCUUCCGGAGGCGGGGACAGCGGGAAGUCACAAAGUGUUCCCCGUGUCGCUUGACAGGUGUGGCCUGCUGGGCGGGAAUCCUGCCCCAGCACGCCGGUUCUCCCGGACAACCUCGGGUUGCAGCAGCCAUCAGUGCCUGGCCUGCCUGCCCGCCUGCCUCUCACCCGGAGAGGUCAAGGUGAGCCCGCAGAGAAAGCUCCGGUGUCUCUAGAAGCGGGCGAGCUGCGGAGCGCCCCCUCCCAGCGGUUGUCACGCUGGAAGGUGCGUGGGAACACCUGGAGGGCUCGUUCCAAGCCAGGUGGCCGCCGGGCCCCACCCCAGAGCCUCUGAUCCUGCAGCUCUAGGGUGGGGCCUGAGAGGUGGGGACUCCAGCAAGCUCCUGGGUGAUGCCCGUGCCACCGCCGCUGGUCCGGGGACCCCCCCCACCCCCCCGUGCGAAGCACUGCUCUGGAGGUGGUGGCUCCUAGGUGUGUGCCCCCUGCCCUACCCCGGACCGGCUCCUUUGCGGGGUCCCCAGGGCCUUGGGAAAUGGCGGGGGGGGGGCGCCUCUCGCGAGAGCAGCGCGGCUGUCAUCGCCACCCCUCCCUGCCCCGGGGGCCCUGGAAGGUGCCUGGCCGCCCACCGCCCGCCCGGGCAGGAUGAGGCAUCAGGCUUUUCCGAAGGGCUUCUGGGGUUUCUCCGGGGCUUGUUGGCCUGCCACUGACUUAGCGGGGCGCCGCCUCCUUCGAAAAUCACCGAGCGUUCGUUACCCGUUGCUGCAUCACACGUCUACCCCCAGGAGCCGCGCAGCGCGGCCGGCGCUCGAGGUCUCGCAGGUGUCUGAGGGCCAGGGUCCUGGAGGGCUUGGCUGGGGCUCCUGGCUGGAGGUGUGUCACAGGCUGCCGUCGAGGUCGAGGCAUCAGUCGGGGCCAGUCUGGUCGGCCUGGGGCAGGGGCUUGGGGGAGGCGAGGCUCUGCUUCCAGGAUCUCUGGCGGGGCUGUGGCGGGGCCGGGGCCUCCCCACCGGGCCGCUGGGGGCCGGGCUCCCCCAGAGCCAGCGAUCUGGGCGAGACAGAGCCGCCCCCGGGGCCAAGGCACGGUGCCGGUCUGAUGACUUCACCUCCAAGUGACCCUCCCUCCCCUCGGCUGGAUCUUGAUGGGUCACACAGGCCCAAGCCGGGAGCAGUGCAGGAGGGCCCGGCCAAUGAGAAGGCUCCAGGGAGCAUCCUUGCUCCUGAACCUGGCGCGGGAGGGGCUCCUGGUCCGCGCAGGCCCCUCGGGAGCGGGACCCUGUCCUCUGUCUGCGCGGGGGUGGCAGGUUCCAGCCCCCGGGACCAAGACAGGCAGGGCGUGUCACCCUUAGAUGGUCGCGGACAGGACACACGAAAAGCCAGAGAAAGAACAUGUGACCGAGCCCCUGCCUGGCCCCCACGGCCCGAGGUGUGUGCCCCCUGCCCUCUGCCCUUGCGGAGGAGCUGGCAGCCCUGGUGGCACAUGGACGAUCCCGGGGCUGGUUGGCACCUGGAGCCGCAGCUGCAGGCCUACGCCACAGCCGCAGCCAGGCCGGGUCCUUAACCCACUGAGC